rnacentral:rRNA from 1 species
AGAGUUUGAUCAUGGCUCAGGAUGAACGCUGGCGGCGUGCCUAACACAUGCAAGUCGAACGAAGCACCUUUUGAGAUACUUCGGAUGAUCGAUCGGUGACUGAGUGGCGGACGGGUGAGUAACGCGUGGGUAACCUGCCCUGUACAGGGGGAUAACAGCUGGAAACGGCUGCUAAUACCGCAUAAGCGCACGAGGAGACAUCUCUUUGUGUGAAAAACUCCGGUGGUACAGGAUGGGCCCGCGUCUGAUUAGCUGGUUGGCAGGGUAACGGCCUACCAAGGCGACGAUCAGUAGCCGGUCUGAGAGGAUGAACGGCCACAUUGGAACUGAGACACGGUCCAAACUCCUACGGGAGGCAGCAGUGGGGAAUAUUGCACAAUGGGGGAAACCCUGAUGCAGCAACGCCGCGUGAGUGAAGAAGUAUUUCGGUAUGUAAAGCUCUAUCAGCAGGGAAGAUAAUGACGGUACCUGACUAAGAAGCUCCGGCUAAAUACGUGCCAGCAGCCGCGGUAAUACGUAUGGAGCAAGCGUUAUCCGGAUUUACUGGGUGUAAAGGGUGCGUAGGUGGCAGUGCAAGUCAGAUGUGAAAGGCCGGGGCUCAACCCCGGAGCUGCAUUUGAAACUGCUCGGCUAGAGUACAGGAGAGGCAGGCGGAAUUCCUAGUGUAGCGGUGAAAUGCGUAGAUAUUAGGAGGAACACCAGUGGCGAAGGCGGCCUGCUGGACUGUUACUGACACUGAGGCACGAAAGCGUGGGGAGCAAACAGGAUUAGAUACCCUGGUAGU